rnacentral:lncRNA from 12 species
GGUUCUGAAAGGAAACUCUUCCUGGCAUCUCGCUGCAUCCUCACUGCCAUACCAGAGUCCUGAGGGCGCUUCCUUUCUUCAUGAAGACACUCAGGCCAGCUUGUGUUCCAUCCUCAUGACCUACCCUGACCCUCAGGACCUCCCAAGCCCCCCCUUCAAAGACCAUCACAUCGAGGGCCGGGGCUUCACCAUACCAGUUGGUGGAACUCAAACGUUCAGCCCAUGACAGAGGAACAGCUUCCUUCCCCCCUGAGCUUAGGAGAGACAGGAACAAAGAGGUGGAUCAGGUGGGGUGUGAUCCACAGCCGAGGCCUUGGUCCUGGUGAUUUCCGUCCCAGGUUUCAGAUGACCCCUGAGGAGAACAGGAAGGACAACUGUGCAGAUCCAGACAGAGGACCUGCCCCAAAGCAGCGCCAGCACCCGGCUGUCCGGACACAUCCCUUCACAUCGUUGUCUGACCUCCAGGAAGACCGGUGCCCGCUCAGGUAACUAAGAUUUUUCUUUGGCAUGCUUAAAAAGUAUGUGACUUCUAAAGGCAUGGGAUGGAAAGUCACAACUAGCUGAAGGACACGUAGCGAUCCUUGAAAAUCCAGCUGUCACGCCACCACUCAUCUGUUCCAAGGGAUUCUAAGGGCUUGGGACUGCUCACACUUAUCCAUGUAAGUGCUUCUGGCAGACCAGCUGUAGAAGGUGCCAAAGAUUUAGGAAAAAGUUAUUGGGGAGCUUUCUAAAUCGAGGUGGUUUUAUCCGUUCUCGCAACUUCAUGUGUGCAGGGGAUCCGUCCUUUCUUUCUUUCAACAGAAGAAUAUGCCCCGACCACAGAGCACGGUGGGAGGACCAUUGUCCCCAAAGGUCCAUCACUCCCUAGGUCCUGUCUUAGAAUACGCUAGAAUGCACUUUUCAGAAACGAGCUCUCUGCCUGCGAGAUUGAAGCCACCCAGGUUUCUCACAGGGCUCUGAUCUUAUUAUAUAUUUUAAUGCUUUUCCUGGUACUUUUUCUGAGAUGCUAUACACCAUUUUUGAGAGAGGUACACAUAAGUUAUUCAGAUAAAACACAAACAGGA